UAUUUAAUGUGUAUAUACAUUUUUGUGUAAAGAGUAAGGGUACACAUGUAAUUACACACACACAUUAGUUUAGAUUUUUAUUUGAUAUAUCUGUAAUUGGCAGAGGUUUCGAGAUGAUGAAUCAUAAUUGCAUUUCAUUUCAUUUCUUCAGCUCACUUUUUCUCCUUUCUCUCUCUUCUUCACUGUUACGCUUCCAUCUCCAUUUUUAUCUCAAUCAAAGCUCUUAGAAUGUUGACA
rnacentral:lncRNA from 1 species